rnacentral:rRNA from 1 species
AAUGAACGCUGGCGGCAUGCCUAACACAUGCAAGUCGAACGAAGCCUUCGGGCUUAGUGGCGCACGGGUGCGUAACGCGUGGGAAUCUGCCCUUGGGUUCGGAAUAACAGCGAGAAAUUGCUGCUAAUACCGGAUGAUGACGUAAGUCCAAAGAUUUAUCGCCCAAGGAUGAGCCCGCGUAGGAUUAGCUAGUUGGUGAGGUAAAGGCUCACCAAGGCGACGAUCCUAGCUGGUCUGAGAGGAUGAUCAGCCACACUGGGACUGAGACACGGCCCAGACUCCUACGGGAGGCAGCAGUGGGGAAUAUUGGACAAUGGGCGCAAGCCUGAUCCAGCCAUGCCGCGUGAGUGAUGAAGGCCCUAGGGUUGUAAAGCUCUUUGUGCGGAAGAUAAUGACGGUACCGCAAGAAUAAGCCCCGGC